CCGGAUGCGCUCGCGAGCUCAUCCCUGAGUUUCCUGAGGUUCAACUCCUUUCCACGUGCAGACAACAGACUUGAAGGAGGCGGACACGUCAUUGGUCCGGACAAAAGACGAACAUCCUAUCGACUGUUUUUAAGCUGGUAAAGCUUUAUUAGAAGGCGCGCAUGAGAGUGAAACCUGAAAGCGGAGCCAACGUUUCCUGUGAAGAUGGAAGUCGGCGCGCUCCACCGACCGCAGAACCUCAGAGAAGGGAUGACGAUAUGACUGCGUUAACUGGAAAUGAUGAAUUAGACCUGCGCGCGCCUUCUGAUCAGCCCCAUCUACCUGUCCACGCACACAACGGCAGAUUGAGAGGACAUUUGAAGUGAUGCUUUCCAUCAGGGUGUGAAAAGAUAACAAUAAAAACAUG